rnacentral:rRNA from 1 species
UACGGAGGAUGCGAGCGUUAUCCGGAUUUAUUGGGUUUAAAGGGUGCGUAGGCGGACUGUCAAGUCAGCGGUAAAAUUGAGGGGCUCAACCUCUUCCCGCCGUUGAAACUGGUGGUCUUGAGUGGAUGAGAAGUACGCGGAAUGCGUGGUGUAGCGGUGAAAUGCAUAGAUAUCACGCAGAACUCCGAUUGCGAAGGCAGCGUACCGGCAUCCAACUGACGCUGAGGCACGAAAGCGUGGGGAUCAAACAGG